rnacentral:rRNA from 1 species
UACGUAGGGGGGCAAGCGUUGUCCGGAUUUAUUGGGCGUAAAGAGCGUGUAGGCGGCCAAGCAGGUCCGCUGUGAAAAACUCGAGGCUCAACCUCGAGACGUCGGUGGAAACCGUUUGGCUAGAGUCCGGAAGAGGAGAGUGGAAUUCCCGGUGUAGCGGUGAAAUGCGCAGAUAUCGGGAAGAACACCAAUGGCGAAAGCAGCUCUCUGGGACGGUACUGACGCUGAGACGCGAAAAGCGUGGGGGAGCGAACAGG